rnacentral:sRNA from 1 species
CAACGUGUUGUUUGCGUAACCGAAUACGC